AACACUCUCUCUCUCUCUCUCUCUCUCUCUCUCUCUAGAAUCUAGAGUCUAAAUUCAGCAAACGGAACCCAGAAAAGCUCUCUGUUACAAAAAUUCUCUCUUUCUCUAUCUUAAUUCACUGAAAGAAGGAAAGCACAGUCUCUCUUCCCCUCCCCUCCAAAUUCUUUCUAUUCCAAAUCCCUGAAAAAAUAAGUGAAUUUAGACAAAAAUUAUUUCUUUCUCCAGUCCAGCAAAGAAAACCAACUAAAACUACUGCACCAUCAAACACAAACCAGAAGUGAAUUUAGAGGAAAUGGAAGAAAAACAGGGUAGCAAGUGUGACAGCCAUACUUCUUCUGUAGUCAAUAUUCAAUUCUCAAACAAUCCUUAAUAAAUAAAACAAUUACUUUUACUGCUAUACUUUUGCCUUCUGAUACUGAAUCUCUCACUCCAUAGAAUUCAUUGCCGGAGUUCUCUCUUGGACUUAUUGGCCACGUCAAAAAGAUUCGCUUUUGUAUCUUUUGGUCUCUGUCUACGAUACACAGUAUAUCUCUUUUCUUUUUUUUUGUUGAACAGUUAUAUAUUUAUUU
rnacentral:lncRNA from 1 species